rnacentral:rRNA from 1 species
UGGGGAAUAUUGCACAAUGGGGGAAACCCUGAUGCAGCGACGCCGCGUGAACGAAGAAGGUAUUCGUAUCGUAAAGUUCUGUCCUAUGGGAAGAUAAUGACAGUACCAUAGAAGAAAGCUCCGGCUAAAUACGUGCCAGCAGCCGCGGUAAUACGUAUGGAGCGAGCGUUGUCCGGAAUUAUUGGGCGUAAAGGAUACGCAGGCGGUUUAAUAAGUCGAAUGUUAAAGAUCGGGGCUCAACCCCGCAAAGCAUUGGAAACUGAUAAACUUGAGUAGUGGAGAGGAAAGUGGAAUUCCUAGUGUAGUGGUGAAAUACGUAGAUAUUAGGAGGAAUACCAGUAGCGAAGGCGACUUUCUGGACACAAACUGACGCUGAGGUACGAAAGCGUGGGGAGCAAACAGG